GUUUUAUGUCUAUAUACAAUCUUCAGGAAUUAUCAACAUUCUCUGGGUUUCAGGUAAUAAGAAGAAUAGCAUGAUAUCCUGUUAAGCAACGGCAGUGAGCCUUACACAGAGCAGCAACCGCAAUUUUAUCGACCACUCAUAUCCACCUAACUUUUUGCCAGCCUAUAUAAGGAAAGUAGGAACAAUGCCUAACAAGAAUUAAUGGACAAUUGCGAACA
rnacentral:lncRNA from 1 species